rnacentral:rRNA from 1 species
CACUAUCGUUAACUGAAUACAUAGGUUAACGAGGCGAACCGGGGGAACUGAAACAUCUAAGUACCCCGAGGAAAAGAAAUCAACCGAGAUUCCCCCAGUAGCGGCGAGCGAACGGGGAGCAGCCCAGAGUCUGAAUCAGCUUGUGUGUUAGUGGAACGGUCUGGAAAGUCCGACGGUACAGGGUGAUAGUCCCGUACACCAAAAUGCACAGGUUGUGAACUCGAAGAGUAGGGCGGGACACGUGGUAUCCUGUCUGAAUAUGGGGGGACCAUCCUCCAAGGCUAAAUACUCCUGACUGACCGAUAGUGAACCAGUACCGUGAGGGAAAGGCGAAAAGAACCCCGGCGAGGGGAGUGAAAAAGAACCUGAAACCGUGUACGUACAAGCAGUGGGAGCACCUUCGGGUGUGACUGCGUACCUUUUGUAUAAUGGGUCAGCGACUUAUAUUCUGUAGCAAGGUUAACCGUAUAGGGGAGCCGCAGGGAAACCGAGUCUUAACUGGGCGUUAAGUUGCAGGGUAUAGACCCGAAACCCGGUGAUCUAGCCAUGGGCAGGUUGAAGGUUGGGUAACACUAACUGGAGGACCGAACCGACUAAUGUUGAAAAAUUAGCGGAUGACUUGUGGCUGGGGGUGAAAGGCCAAUCAAACCGGGAGAUAGCUGGUUCUCCCCGAAAGCUAUUUAGGUAGCGCCUCGUGAACUCAUCUUCGGGGGUAGAGCACUGUUUCGGCUAGGGGGUCAUCCCGACUUACCAACCCGAUGCAAACUACGAAUACCGAAGAAUGUUAUCACGGGAGACACACGGCGGGUGCUAACGUCCGUCGUGAAGAGGGAAACAACCCAGACCGCCAGCUAAGGUCCCAAAGUCAUGGUUAAGUGGGAAACGAUGUGGGAAGGCACAGACAGCCAGGAUGUUGGCUUAGAAGCAGCCAUCAUUUAAAGAAAGCGUAAUAGCUCACUGGUCGAGUCGGCCUGCGCGGAAGAUGUAACGGGGCUAAACCAUGCACCGAAGCUGCGGCAGCGACACUAUGUGUUGUUGGGUAGGGGAGCGUUCUGUAAGCCUGCGAAGGUGUGCUGUGAGGCAUGCUGGAGGUAUCAGAAGUGCGAAUGCUGACAUAAGUAACGAUAAAGCGGGUGAAAAGCCCGCUCGCCGGAAGACCAAGGGUUCCUGUCCAACGUUAAUCGGGGCAGGGUGAGUCGACCCCUAAGGCGAGGCCGAAAGGCGUAGUCGAUGGGAAACAGGUUAAUAUUCCUGUACUUGGUGUUACUGCGAAGGGGGGACGGAGAAGGCUAUGUUAGCCGGGCGACGGUUGUCCCGGUUUAAGCAUGUAGGCUGAUUGUCCAGGCAAAUCCGGAUAAUCAAGGCUGAGGUGUGAUGACGAGGCACUACGGUGCUGAAGUAACAAAUGCCCUGCUUCCAGGAAAAGCCUCUAAGCAUCAGGUAACAUUAAAUCGUACCCCAAACCGACACAGGUGGUCAGGUAGAGAAUACCAAGGCGCUUGAGAGAACUCGGGUGAAGGAACUAGGCAAAAUGGUGCCGUAACUUCGGGAGAAGGCACGCUGGUGUGUAGGUGAAGUCCCUGCGGAUGGAGCUGAGACCAGUCGAAGAUACCAGCUGGCUGCAACUGUUUAUUAAAAACACAGCACUGUGCAAACACGAAAGUGGACGUAUACGGUGUGACGCCUGCCCGGUGCCGGAAGGUUAAUUGAUGGGGUUAUCCGUAAGGAGAAGCUCUUGAUCGAAGCCCCGGUAAACGGCGGCCGUAACUAUAACGGUCCUAAGGUAGCGAAAUUCCUUGUCGGGUAAGUUCCGACCUGCACGAAUGGCGUAAUGAUGGCCAGGCUGUCUCCACCCGAGACUCAGUGAAAUUGAACUCGCUGUGAAGAUGCAGUGUACCCGCGGCAAGACGGAAAGACCCCGUGAACCUUUACUAUAGCUUGACACUGAACAUUGAGCCUUGAUGUGUAGGAUAGGUGGGAGGCUUUGAAGCGUGGACGCCAGUCUGCGUGGAGCCAACCUUGAAAUACCACCCUUUAAUGUUUGAUGUUCUAACGUUGGCCCCUUACCGGGGUUGCGGACAGUGUCUGGUGGGUAGUUUGACUGGGGCGGUCUCCUCCCAAAGCGUAACGGAGGAGCACGAAGGUUAGCUAAUCCUGGUCGGACAUCAGGAGGUUAGUGCAAUGGCAUAAGCUAGCUUGACUGCGAGCGUGACGGCGCGAGCAGGUGCGAAAGCAGGUCAUAGUGAUCCGGUGGUUCUGAAUGGAAGGGCCAUCGCUCAACGGAUAAAAGGUACUCCGGGGAUAACAGGCUGAUACCGCCCAAGAGUUCAUAUCGACGGCGGUGUUUGGCACCUCGAUGUCGGCUCAUCACAUCCUGGGGCUGAAGUAGGUCCCAAGGGUAUGGCUGUUCGCCAUUUAAAGUGGUACGCGAGCUGGGUUUAGAACGUCGUGAGACAGUUCGGUCCCUAUCUGCCGUGGGCGCUGGAGAAUUGAGGGGGGCUGCUCCUAGUACGAGAGGACCGGAGUGGACGCAUCACUGGUGUUCGGGUUGUCAUGCCAAUGGCACUGCCCGGUAGCUAAAUGCGGAAGAGAUAAGUGCUGAAAGCAUCUAAGCACGAAACUUGCCCCGAGAUGAGUUCUCCCUGAGACUUUAAGUCUCCUGAAGGAACGUUGAAGACGAUGACGUUGAUAGGCCGGGUGUGUAAGCGCAGCGAUGCGUUGAGCUAACCGGUACUAAUGAACCGUGAGGCUUAACCUU